ensembl:lincRNA
CCUGGGUGAUCUUUUUGACUGGCAGAGGUAGGUUAGGAAACAGCACUGAAGGAGGCGGCGGGUGGGGAAGAAAGGCCCAGGCAGGUCAGGAAAAAGGAGCAGAUGCCAUCAGCAACCAGGGGUUUCCGUUCCUAUCCUCAGGUCUCCUCCAACAAGGGUCAUCAGGAGAAAAGACUGGGCUCCCCUCCUGCCCCUAACAUCCUCCUCUUACCCCUCAGCACUCAACACUCCCUUCCCUGAUCCCAGGGCCAAGUGGACUGAGGCUUUUUUUUUUUUCCCCUGGUGGAGCCUGGAUCAAGUAAGGGGAUCACAGUUCUCCAGGCUCAGGAACUGGGCUCUCCGGACACCUGGGUCCCUGGCGCCUAGGGGAAUGGAGACAGCCAGGGGAAGUACUGCCUCAGACUGGCUCGUCACCCGCUACCCAGAAAGCAGUGCAGUGGCGUCUCCUGGGUCAUACAAACAGACGCAGCCACUCACGCUGCACCUGAAGAGGAAGACUUCUCCAGCACCAGAUUCGGGUGCAUUCAAGCCUCUAGUCCCAAUGCAGAGAUCUCCCCGACCCACAGAAGGAGAGAAGGAAAGAGAAGAGGCGGGGUGAAGGGCACGACCUUGCCCCCCAAACCCGCAACCAAAAGCCCUCAGGACAGUGGCCCGGGGACCAAACGGCCCUUGGAAUACGAAGCGGGUCCACGGCGCGUCCGAACUGUCGAGCACAGACCGGGCAUUUCCCUGGAUGGCCGAGAAUGCGGACGCGCGCCGGGCUCCUGCCUUGGCUCCAGCCUCGGAAGUCGGACAAGCUCCAGUGCCGGCUUCCGAGAGGCAUCGCGAUCCAGAGGCGGCUCGGGAUCCUGCUCUCGGUGCAGCGCCCCGUGCCUGUGGCCGCGCAGAGCACUCCGGAGUGGGACUGGCUGAGGGCGAGGGUGCAGAGUGGAAAGCUUGAAGGAGACACCACCGCAGUGUUUGCUGCGACAGUGAGGCUGAGGAACGCGAGGAGGUGGCUGUUCGGGCAGGAGCACAGCCCAGGCUUCGUAAGGCUGCAGCUCCGCAGGCUCUGCCGAGGGGCCUCCCGUAGCCCAGCUUCCUGGACAGUCUGUGCCUCGGACAUCUCUGCAGCCCCAACUGCCAAGCGCAGAACAGGGCAUACACAAGAAGCCGAUUACACUCCUGCUGAAUCGAACUGUUUCUGGCCCAUGAGGAAGCAGCCCUAGGAACCCCCUGGAGAGUUUUAGGGAGAAUACGGCAGUGGGAUGGAGAAGACAGAGAUGAAGUCAGGACUCUCUGUGUCCUCCCCUCUCCUGAAAGCUCCCCCAGUAGUCCGCCCCUCUAGGUCAGCGCACCGGCAGCCGGCAACUCUGGCUACGGGCACCAGAGGGCAGUGCCAGCCCGCAUACCUCCACUCACGGCUUCCUCACCUACAGGCUCAGUCGCCCCACAGCAGUCACAGGAGGGAUGGUGACUCCAUUUUACAGAUGGAGAAACCAGGGCUCGGGGCCCCAUCAUUCUGGAAGUAAGCAUUUUGGCCUGGCUGACAGAUGUCUGCCUUUCCACGGCCUAGGGCUGUCCACAAGACCCGGGGUGGUCUCUGAUCCGGGCCUCUCAAGCGGUUUUUCGCUGUCCACCACCCCCUCCCUUCCCUGCUGCUGCUUUAGGGAGAGAAAUCAGACACAGCAGAGACCCUCGGGCUCCUGCCCUCCCUCCUAGUGUACACCCACCGACCCUGCUGGACCUGAAAGAGGACAGGAAGGCGCAGAAGAUUUGCCAGGCUGCAAAGCCAGACCACCCCCAACUAAUUAUGCACAACCCCCUGAACCUGGGCACGGUCACUCCAGUGCCAGCCCUGGGGAGCACACAGGUGGCUCAGGCCCCUCCCCCACCUCCUCCCCUGACCUGACGCUGGAAAAAGCCGCCUGGAACAGGAUAUGUCAUAGAGCCCUGAGGGUCGGU